AAUAGACUUUGAACCGAGUAGUAUCUCCACGAUUCGUUCCUCGUUCAUGGCUCACUCACAGUUGCUCACGGACCUGCGUGAUAUUAGCGUCUCCUAAUACUUGGCUUAAUUCACUGCUUACACCAAUUAACAUCAACUGUGAACUACAAAAACCAAAACCAACAUGUCGGUUGAAAAAUACGCAAAAGCUGAGCCGGAGCUCAAAGCUGAACUAAAAAAAAUCGCUGAGACAAUUGUGGCACCCGGCAAGGGUAUCCUUGCAGCUGACGAAUCAACGGCGACAAUUGGUAAACGCCUUCAGGACAUUAAUGUAGAAAAUAAUGAAGCUAACCGAAAAGCAUACAGGCAGCUCCUAUUCACCACGGCAAAGGAUGUGAUAACAAACCACAUCUCCGGUGUUAUUCUCUUCCAUGAGACCCUUUACCAGAGCUCUGACGACGGUAAACCCUUCGUAGAGCUCUUGAAGGAACGCAAUAUCAUCCCCGGAAUAAAGGUUGACAAGGGUGUUGUCCCCCUGUUCGGCACUGACGACGAAUGCACCACUCAGGGCCUCGAUGAUCUCCAGGCUCGUUGCAUACAGUACAAGAAGGAUGGCUGUCACUUCGCCAAGUGGCGUUGUGUUCUCAAGAUUAAAGGAAAAACUCAGCCAAGUAGAUUGGCGAUUCUUGAAAAUGCCAAUGUACUUGCACGCUACGCCUCAAUCUGUCAGAGUGCUAGAAUUGUACCAAUCGUUGAACCUGAGAUACUUCCCGAUGGUGAUCACGAUCUAGCUCGUUGCCAAGAGGUAACUGAGGAAGUUCUCGCUGCUGUUUACAAAGCACUUAAUGAUCAUCAUGUCUACUUGGAGGGAACACUACUGAAGCCUAAUAUGGUGACACCUGGACAGAGCUGUCCAAAACGAGCAUCUCCUGCUGAAAUUGCUGUUGCUACAGUAACAGCUCUGCAACGCACAGUUCCGCCUGCAGUACCUGGUAUUACUUUCCUCAGCGGUGGACAGUCUGAGGAGGAAGCAUCAGUUAAUCUUGAUGCUAUUAACAAGGUACCUGGAAAGAAACCUUGGGCACUCACUUUCAGCUAUGGGCGUGCUCUACAAGCCUCUGUUCUCAGAGCGUGGGCGGGCAAACCUGACCAAAUUGGAGCUGCUCAAGACGAACUUAUUAAGAGAGCCAAGGCUAAUGGUCUCGCCUGCCAAGGAAAGUACGCGGCUGGCAGUAUCGUCAGCAAAGCCGCUGAUGUUUCCCUUCACGUCAAAGCACACGCCUAUUAAAAUACACAACUCGUUAUACGCUUGACUCUCAUUUUAUUAUUUCUUUCCAUUUUUUUUUUUCACAACUACCCAGUGCUAACAGCGAAUCGGCACUUGGAAAAUACGCAGGAGGAGUCGCCGGUGCUGCAGGUGAUGCCGCCCUGUUUGUGGCAAAUCACGCUUAUUAAGAAAUAAACAUGUUUAUCGAAUUUUAUUCACUAUAGUUGUCACCAUACUUUAUACGUCAAAUAAUAUACACGCGCGUAUACAUAACACGAGAACUAUUUUUCUCGACUUUCUGCCGGAAGCCAAAGAGUUAAAAUUUGUUCAAACACGUGACAUAUUCUUAUUGAAUCGUCGAUAGAGAAACUUGAAAAAUUGAUGAAUAUUAACAUCACAUUAUGAUAUAAUAAUCGAAAUGGAUGAGACAUAUUCGCGAAUUUUAAAUGUAUUAUUAGUAGUCAUUACUGAAUUGUUGUGCACACGUAUUGGAAAAUGAAAGGAUUCAACAAUGAAAUUUAAAAAAAAUUCUUGAUAGUGAAGAAAAUAAAAUAAAAACAAGGUGAUUAGAUAAUGACAUUAUGAUAAAGAUCUUACAUAGCAAUGCUGCAUCUGAUAUUUUCCUUGUAAUUCGAUUCAAUAAAUACACUGGAGAUUGUA